AUGGCCAUUCAGUGGUUGUAUGCUGCUCUGGUCCAAAUCCUUCUCUGCCUUGUGCUCUGCCAGCCAUGCUAUGGCACAGUAACUGACAUCCAAUGCCUGAAGAGGGUGAAGGCAUCAGUUGAUCCAAACAACAAGUUGCAUUGGACAUUUGAUGACAACAAAGAAGGAUCCAUAUGCACUUUUAACGGCGUGGAGUGCUGGCAUCCUAAUGAAAACCGGAUUCUUUCUCUUCGGCUUAGCAGCAUGGAUCUGAAGGGCCAAUUCCCUGAUGGACUGGAGAACUGUAGUAGCAUGACUUCGCUGGAUCUAUCAAGCAACAGCCUUUCGGGGCCAAUCCCGGCUGACAUCUCAAAACGGCUUCCAUACAUUACAAACAUUGAUCUCUCAUAUAAUAGCUUCUCAGGGGAGAUUCCAGAAUCGCUAGCUAACUGCACCUAUCUCAAUGUUGUCAGUUUACAAAAUAACAAGUUGACUGGAGCAAUCCCAGGGCAGUUUGCUGGUCUUUCUCGCUUAACCGAGUUUAAUGUUGCUAACAAUAAAUUGUCAGGCCAGAUCCCAUCAUCUUUGAGCAAAUUCUCAUCAUCCAAUUUCGUAAAUCAAGACCUCUGUGGGAAACCUUUGAGCGGUGAUUGCACUGCCUCUUCAAGCAGUCGUAUAGGGGUGAUUGCUGGUUCUGCUGUUGCUGGUGCAGUCAUCACUUUAAUCAUUGUUGGUGUGAUUUUAUUCAUUUUCUUGCGGAAAAUGCCUGCCAGAAAGAAGGAAAAGGACCUGGAAGAAAAUAAGUGGGCGAAGUCUAUCAAGGGAGCAAAAGGAGUGAAGGUAUCAAUGUUUGAGAAAUCAGUCUCAAAGAUGAAAUUGAAUGAUCUGAUGAAGGCAACAGGUGAUUUUACCAAGGAAAACAUUAUUGGAACUGUUCAUUCCGGAACUAUGUACAAAGCUACGCUUCCUGAUGGUUCAUUCCUUGCUAUCAAGAGGUUGCAAGAUACUCAGCAUUCAGAGAGCCAAUUCACAUCCGAGAUGUCAACAUUGGGAAGCGCUAGGCAACGCAACUUAGUUCCACUAUUAGGUUACUGCAUUGCUAAGAAAGAGAGGCUCUUGGUGUACAAGUACAUGCCCAAGGGUUCACUCUAUGAUCAACUGCACCAUGGAGGCAGUGAUAGAGAGGCUCUGGCAUGGCCGUUGAGGCUAAAAAUUGCCAUUGGGGCUGGUAAAGGGUUGGCGUGGCUUCAUCACAGUUGCAACCCCCGCAUUCUUCACCGCAAUAUUAGCUCCAAGUGCAUACUACUUGAUGAUGACUAUGAGCCUAAGAUUUCAGAUUUUGGCCUGGCAAGGCUUAUGAAUCCAAUCGACACCCACCUGAGCACAUUCGUCAAUGGCGAGUUCGGCGACUUGGGUUAUGUAGCUCCUGAGUACACGCACACCCUUGUCGCCACGCCAAAAGGGGAUGUCUAUAGUUUUGGUGUAGUCUUGCUUGAACUGGUCACCGGUGAAGUGCCCACGCGUGUAUCAAAGGCCCCAGAAAAUUUCAAAGGGAGUUUGGUAGAUUGGAUAACAUACCUAUCAAACAACUCUAUACUUCAAGAUGCAGUGGACAAGUCCAUGAUCGGAAAGGACAAUGACGCCGAGCUGCUUCAAGUUCUGAAGGUCGCCUGUUCCUGCGUGCUUUCUGCUCCAAAGGAAAGACCUACAAUGUUUGAAGUGUACCAGCUUCUGAGGGCUGUUGGGGAGAAAUACCAUUUUAGCGCCGCUGAUGAUGAACUGGCGCUCCGACCACAGGAUGCAGACUCUAAGAAGCUGGAUGAGCUUAUUGUGGCGAAAUAG
rnacentral:rRNA from 1 species